rnacentral:lncRNA from 1 species
AAAAAGAAAAGGUGACAACGGAUCACCCUGCCUCAAGCCUAUUUUUGCCUCAAAGGGUACAAUGGGUUGCCCAUUUACAAGGAUAGAAAAUGAAAUUGAUAAGUUCUUAUACCCCUAGAUGUUUUGAUGAUCUCCUCACAAGUGCAGGGACCUGGUCCUCUGCAGAGUACGAAUACUCGUCCAGCUAUCAAAGUGUUGUACAACUGUAAAAGCUGUCUGCGUCAGAAAGUUGGUGAAGCUGCAGAGUACUUCACCAAUCAGAAGCAAGGAGGUUGCUUAUACGUUUGGUAAUAACUCUUCAUGGUAUAUAUCAAACAACACACAACAAUGUUGAUUCAUUCAUUCAAAAAGAGAAAUAUUUCAAGCUUCAAGAACAGCAAGGGAUCUGAUCGAUUACUUCAAGAGCUUCUUGUACGAGCUGUUACUUUGUUUGCUUGUAAUUGUACUUACAUUGUAGGUUUCAUUUCACUUGUGAAAGAUACGUUUCAAAUUUGUGUGAAUCAUUGUAAGAAUUAGGUUAAGGGUAACUUAGGGUCUUACUCUAAAGUCUAUAUUAAUUGGUCAGGAUUAGUAUAGUGGGCGGUGUUGUAUCCGGUUAGCAAAAUCUAAGUUAUCUAGGGGUGAUAGCUUAGUGAGCAGUGUUGUAUCUGCUUUGGCUCAUCUAAGUAUGGAGGUAUUGCUUAGAGUUGGGAUUAGUAGGCUAAUCUCGGUUUGUAAACUUGCUUUUACUUUUGCUUGAGAAGAUUAGUGAAAGAAGUUUGAAAAGUCCUGGCAGUCCAGGUCGUGAUUUUACUCCCUUGAGCAAGGAGGUUUCCACGUAAAGUUGUUGUGCAAUCUUUACUUUCAGCACUUUGUUUAUUUUCUGUUAUUGUAACUGUGCUGAGGACCUGGUCCCAUCUAGACUAGUGGAUGCAUACAUUCCAACAAGUGGUAUCAGAGCAAGUCUUUUCUCUCUGGUUAACACCAAGAAAAGGAAAGAUCCUGACGGAAUGGCUGCUCCACCCAAUAUGGAGGAAGGACAGUCUUCUACCAGGCCAUCGCGUUUUAAUGGACAAUACUAUGGCUGGUGGAAAAAUCGAAUGCACCACUACAUCAACGCUGAGGACUCUGAGUUAUGGGAUAUCAUCCUUGAUGGACCAUAUGUUCCUACAAAGGAGGUGAAGGAUGGGGAGCUUACCACCACUGUUGUCAAAACCAGAAAGGACUACAACGAGGCAGAUAGGAAAAAGAUAGAAAAGAGCUACAAAGUAAAGAAGAUUCUGGUGUGUGGAAUUGGAGCAGAUGAGUACAACAGGAUUUCUGCUUGUGAGACUGCCACAGAAAAUAUGGGAUUGUCUUCAAACAGCCCAUGAAGGAACCCAACGAGUAAAAGAAUCUAAAGUUGAUAUGCUUACCACUCAAUAUGAAAAUUUCAUUAUGAAGGAAGGGGAAACCAUCUUUGAGAUAAACUCAAGAUUCACCUCUAUCACCAACGAGCUGAGAGGUUUGGGUGAGCCUAUUACUGUCCGUAAGCAAAUUCACAAGAUUCUCAAGGUGCUUUCGAAAUCUUGGGAAAGCAAGGUGGAUGCCAUAACAGAAGCCAAAGAUCUAAUGACGCUUUCCAUGGACGAACUGAUUGGGAAUCUUCAGACCUACGAGAUGAACAAGAAACAGGGGACGACUGUGAAAGAAGGAAAGAAGGAGAAGUCCAUUGCUUUGAAAAUAUCUCAAAGUGAAGUGACUUGAAGAGGAGGAUGAGAUGGCAUAUGUCACUAGAAGAUUUCAGAAGAUCUUAAAGAAGCAUGGAGGUUUCCAAAAGAAAACCCCUUCCAGCAGAACUGCUACUGCAAAUGAUCUUUGCCAUAAGUGUGGCAAGCCUGGUCACUUCAUGAGAAACUACCCCAGUCAAAAGCAGGAAACUCAUGACACCAGACCUCGCAAGAGGGACCUGGUCCCAGACCAUGCUCGAAGGAAGGCAUAUGCAGAUCAGUUGGUGAGAAACGCCUUUGCUGUGUGGGGAAAUGACUCAAGUGAAUCAGAAAAAGAUGUAGAGAGUCAUAAGGAUGUUUCAAUGAUGACCAUUGAGGAUGAUGAAAGCAUUUUCAACUCUAUUUUCUCCUUAAUGGAAAAUUCUGAUGAUGAAGAGGAUUCAGAUGAGGUAACUCUUUUUUAUCUUAAAGAUGAUCUAGAUAAUCUGCCUAUUGAAAAUUUGAGGAAACUUGCUGCCCUGCUUAUUGAUUGUGUUGAUGAAACGAACCACUGAAAACUUAAUGUUGAAUAAAAAAUUAAGUUUGUAUGAAGAUAAGAAUUCUGCUCUCAUGUCUCAAGUUGCUGAAAUUAGUGAAGGGAUAGGUAUUCUAGAGACUAGUAACAUAACACCUGAGAAGGACCCUGGAAACUUAGUAGGUGGGAAGAGAAAGCUUCGCACUUUUGAGGAAGAACUGGAAGAAAAGCUAAAAAAUUCUGAGUCUAAGCUAGUCGCUUCUCUUGAAAAAAAUUCUCAACUGAGAAAGGAUUUGAGUAGGGUCAAGGAGGAAUUAAGUCACUCCCUGAAGUGGACUGACUCCUCUAAGAUACUCUCUAAUCUGUCCAAUCAAAGUUUCAAUGGAAAGAAAGGGUUGGGACGCAGACCAAUAGAUCCUCCCUACAAUCCCCAUAGCAAAUAUGUGUCUGUAUUUGACAACCUUUUGUGCACUCACUGUGGUCGAAAUGGUCAUUUGAAAGAAAAAUGUGAGAGUUUGAGAAAAGCUAAAAAAAGGCUUGUGAGAUCUGUUAGAUCUGAAAAUGAUGUUAAAAAGGGACACAAGGGACCUGGUUCCCCAUAUUGGUUCAGUAAGAACAUCAUGCCUCCCUGGACAGAAAGGUUUCUUAUCAGACCUCUUAAUAAAUACUGGGAACUCCGUCUGAAGUGGGUUCCUAAAUCUAACAAAUGAUUUCUAUGCAGAAUAGAGGAAGGAGUCUGUGCUGGUACAUGGACAGUGGAUGCUCAAGGCACAUGACUGGAGACACUUCAAACUUCCUCUCUUUUGAAAGCACACCAAGGUGGUGGUGUGUCGUUUGGUGGUGGAAAGAAGGGCUCUAUCCUUGGUAUUGGCAGAAUAGGGAGAUCGGCUGAUAAUUCGAUAAAUAAUGUACACUAUGUGGAGGGUUUAAAAUACAAUCUUUUGAGCAUUUCACAAAUCUGUGAUAAGGGAAAUGAAGUCAAGUUCAUGUCUGAAAGCUGUGUGGUUACAAACUAUGCAACUAAGAAAAUUGCGAUGUCUGCAAAAAGAGUCAAGAAUAUGUAUGUUGUUGAUCUUGAUUCUAUUAAAGGAGUCAGCAUGUCAUGUCUGAGUGUUCAAACUGACGAUGCAAAUCUUUGGCAUAGACGACUGGGACAUGUAAGUACCUCUUUACUUAACAAGCUUGUUGCAGGGGACCUGGUCUGCGGAUUACCAAAGCUGAAGUUCUCCAAUGACAAAGUUUGUGACGCCUGUGCAAAAGGAAAACAAACAAGAUCUUCUUUCAAGGCAAAAAAGGGUGUGAGCACUACCAGACCUUUGGAACUUCUCCACAUGGAUUUGUGUGGACCGGUCAGAAUUCAAAGCAGAGGAGGUAAAAAAUAUAUUCUUGUGAUUGUUGAUGAUUUUUCCAGGUACACCUGGAAUAUGUUUUUGCGGAAAAAGGAUGAGACUGCUGGAAUUCUGAUCACUUUUGCCAAAGCCAUCCAAUUGAAGAUAAAUUGCAAAAUAGCUAGUAUUAGAUCUGAUCAUGGUACGGAGUUUGAAAACUCUAUACUUGAAGGGUUUUGUGCAGAAAAUAGAAUCAAUCACAACUUCUCAGCACCAAGAACUCCUCAGCAAAAUGGAGUUGUUGAAAGAAAGAACAGAACUCUGGUGGAGAUUGCUAGAACUAUGCUGAUUGAUUCAGAACUUGCAAUGAAUUUUUGGGCUGAAGCAGUUAAUACAGCUUGCUAUGUGACAAACAUGUGUCUUAUCAGAACAAUCGUCAAGAAAACACCUUAUGAGCUGUUAAACGACAAAAAGCCUUCAAUUGCUCAUCUCAAGCCAUCCGGGUGCAAAUGUUUUGUGCUAAAAAAUGGAAAGGAUGAUUUAGGCAAGUUUGAUGCCAGAAGUGAUGAAGGAGUAUUUGUCGGGUACUCAUAUACAAGCAAGGCUUACAGGGAGUUCAACAAAAGAAAUCUUUGUAUCGAAGAAAGCAUGCACGUCAAGUUUGACGAAUUGGGUACAAGAAAUGAGAAUAAUGAGGACUAUGAGUUUGGGGAGCUGAUGACCAAGCAGCAGGAUGAUCAGGGUACAAAAGACAAUGAUACAGAACACUUAGGAGGACCUGGUCCCUCAAAUGCAUCACAGGAAACAGUGUCUCAAAAUCUUGAAGAAGAUGAAGGUAAUUCUGAUGCUGACAGAGAAGAAGAGAUUACCAGAAAGUCUGGAUGGAAACAUCAAUCUUCACAUCCUCUAGACAAUCUCACCUCUCCACUUGACUCAGGAAUUCAAACUAGGUCUAAAUCNNNNNNNNNNNNNNNNNNNNNNNNNNNNNNNNNNNNNNNNNNNNNNNNNNNNNNNNNNNNNNNNNNNNNNNNNNNNNNNNNNNNNNNNNNNNNNNNNNNNNNNNNNNNNNNNNNNNNNNNNNNNNNNNNNNNNNNNNNNNNNNNNNNNNNNNNNNNNNNNNNNNNNNNNNNNNNNNNNNNNNNNNNNNNNNNNNNNNNNNNNNNNNNNNNNNNNNNNNNNNNNNNNNNNNNNNNNNNNNNNNNNNNNNNNNNNNNNNNNNNNNNNNNNNNNNNNNNNNNNNNNNNNNNNNNNNNNNNNNNNNNNNNNNNNNNNNNNNNNNNNNNNNNNNNNNNNNNNNNNNNNNNNNNNNNNNNNNNNNNNNNNNNNNNNNNNNNNNNNNNNNNNNNNNNNNNNNNNNNNNNNNNNNNNNNNNNNNNNNNNNNNNNNNNNNNNNNNNNNNNNNNNNNNNNNNNNNNNNNNNNNNNNNNNNNNNNNNNNNNNNNNNNNNNNNNNNNNNNNNNNNNNNNNNNNNNNNNNNNNNNNNNNNNNNNNNNNNNNNNNNNNNNNNNNNNNNNNNNNNNNNNNNNNNNNNNNNNNNNNNNNNNNNNNNNNNNNNNNNNNNNNNNNNNNNNNNNNNNNNNNNNNNNNNNNNNNNNNNNNNNNNNNNNNNNNNNNNNNNNNNNNNNNNNNNNNNNNNNNNNNNNNNNNNNNNNNNNNNNNNNNNNNNNNNNNNNNNNNNNNNNNNNNNNNNNNNNNNNNNNNNNNNNNNNNNNNNNNNNNNNNNNNNNNNNNNNNNNNNNNNNNNNNNNNNNNNNNNNUUGAAGGGAACUCAGGACCUGGUCCUCUUCUACCCUACUGAUGACUCUUUUGAUCUUAUAGGUUAUGCUGAUGCUGAUUAUGCAGGUUUUCUUGUCGAUCGAAAAAGCACAUCAGGCAUGGCACACUUCCUGGGAUCAGCUUUGAUUUCAUGGGGAACAAAGAAGCAGAAUUCCGUGGCAUUGUCUACUGCAGAGGCAUAGUAUGUGGCUGCUGCAUCAUGCUGUGCACAACUGUUAUGGAUUAAACAACAGUUGGAAGAUUUUGGUGUACUUACAAACACUAUUCCUAUUGUUUGCGAUAAUACUAGUGCCAUGAACAUGGCCAAAAAUCCGGUCCAGCACAAGAGGACAAAGCACAUAGAUAUAAGACAUCACUUCCUAAGAGACAAUGUUGAAAAGCUAAAUGUAGUGAUGAGGUUCUGUAAAACUGAAGACCAGCUGGCAGACAUCUUUACAAAAUCAUUAAGUAAAGAAUUCUUCAUCAAAAAUAGGAUGCGGCUAGGGAUGCUCAAAAUUACCUGACCCUUCGACAUAAUUUUUUUUCUUCUUAUUGAUUAUGUUAAGGAGGGCAGGUAUCUCUACUUGUUGUAAUGUUUGUCAUAAAAGAAUUCACUUAUGUACCUUAAUGCAGGUAUACACUCAUGGUGUGUCUAGCUGAAGGGAAAGUUUAAUCACACAGACAGAGUUACACACUGAAAGGAGGACCUGGUCCUUAUGAGGUUAGUAUCACUUAUACUACACUGCCUAAAAGUCAAACAUCACUGCCACGUGUCACUCGCCCAUUCAUCGCGUCAGUUUCAAAACGUCUUAUCGUUUUUAAUACCAAAGGUCACCUCCAUUGGGACCUGAUACCUUUUCAAUUUUAAAUGUUUUUGGAGAAUUACUUUUUAGCUUCUCUCUUCUCCUUUAAAAAAAAAAUAAAAAAAAUUUCUCUAAACUUCUCUCCAAGUUCUUCUCUCUUCUCUUCAAAAAUGUCUAUCACUGAGUCUUCUUCAAGAACAUCCAUCCCCCAAGAGGUUGAAAACCCUAGUUCAUUCAACUUCUCCAUUCCUCCUCCUGAAGAAUCUCCUUCCAUCCCUGUCUGUGGUGCCGGUGAAAUGGUUGAAUCCAUCUCCCCGCCCGCCGACAUCUUAGUCUCCCCUGUUCUUCACUCCAGAAAUACCUUGGUUUGCUCUCCCACUCUGGUCCUAUCUAGUGAAAAAUCCCCAAUUUUAGAAGAACAAUCUGUGGCAAAAUCUAAUGAGGGUCCUUUUUCGGAAGAAACUAACAUUGGUUCCAUGGGAGCAUCAUCAACCAUAUUUGAGAGAGCGUUUGAAGGAGACUUACCUGAAGGAAAAAUUCCUGAAUCUUGUUCCCUAACUGCUGGUGCUGAACUGGUGGCCGUUAAAAGCUUAGCCUCUUUAAGAGGUGAUGUUCAACCCAUUUCUCUGGAGCAUGAGUUGGAGUCACCGGAUCAGGUACCUCCCAGAAGUGAGCCUAUCUUUGACCAAAUACCAAAAUCAUUUGAUGUUGGAAGCGAUAAGGAAGAAGAAGAGGUUCUAUUAAAAUGGCGCUCAAGGGGAAUGCGUGGAGCAAAUCAAUCUCAAGUGAAUGUUUCUGAGUUGGAAGCAGUUAAAGGUACAUCUGAGGUUGACAUUGUUGAAAACUCUGCUGAACGAGCAAAGGAGCAACAGAGAAAGGGGAAAGGAAAGUUGGUAUUGUCUCACUUUAACGGGGACAAAGGGAAGUAUGUUACAAGGAGCGAAACACAAAAGGUUAUGGGAAGUGCUAUUGCUGCAAGCAAAGCCCACACGGAAAGAACUAGGAAGAGGAGAAGAGAAAGGCUUAAACCUGAACAGCCUGCCUCUACUCCCUUGUCUAUUCGAAUAGUGAAAGUGAAUCUGAAGAUGAUGUCAAGUAUGUGGCAAAAAGAAGGAGAGAAGCUGAGGAAGAAAGGAUUAAAUCAAAGGGAAAUCAAAAAGGGGGAAAGAAAUCUCUUGCAAAGAGUGCAAAGGUUAAAAGGCAGUCAUCUCUUGCAAAGGGAGAAAAAGGAAGAAAGCAGUCAGAGGAACAACCUGUAAAAGGACCUGGUCCCAAGAUUAAAAAUCAAAUCAAAGAGAAAGAUUUGACUAGAAAAGAGCGGGUAGAGAAAAUGGAGCAACAAAAGGUCUUGAAUGGUUGAGUCUUUGACCCUGACAUUCUAACACUGUUUGGUAUGGCCAAUUUGGUUGAUGUUGUUACCAUUCAAAGCUGGAAUCAUUUAUUUGAACCACCAGUUCCAUACUUACACGAACAUGAAGUGCGAGAGUCCUUCUAUAAAAUGAAACUACUGGAAGGUAGUGGAAUCAUAACGACGAUCAGGAAUGUGGAGAUUCAUCUUGAUGAAGAAACUCUGGGAAUUAUUCUUGGAGUGCCUGUGGUGGGAGUUCGAACUAUUGAGGGAUGCAAACCAUCUGGUGAUUUCUCAAAGCUUGCUACCAAACGAGGAGAUGUCAAGCGUGCAGGCCUUCCUAAGAAGUUUCUUAAAGGGGAGUAUCAAUUGAUGUUUGAAUUCAUUAACAAAGUAAUGGUGCCCAGGACUGAGAAGAGAACAGUGGCCUCUGCUGCCGAUCUUUUCCUCAUGGAAAAACUUAAUGAGCUUGAGGAAAUUAAUCUCCCUCCAAUUAUACUGGAACACAUGCAUAGAGUAAUGACAUGGAAGAAUGUGAAGCACGGAAUUCCUUAUGGGUAUUUGCUAAACUUUGUCUUUAACCAUUUGAAGUUCCAGUAGGAAGAGGGGUACCUGGCACUACCAAACAAAUGUUCACUAUGUCUACUCUACUAGAAUGUGAGUGCAUUGAGGGACCAGCUAGGGGCAGAUCUCAGGUGGCAGAUAUUUUGGAACAGCAGGCUACUCUUAGGAGGGAGGUGACUGAUCUCACCAAGAUUCUGACCGAUAAGGAGGUUGAAAUCACCAGGCUGAAGUCUGAACUGGAGAAGGCCAUUUCCAGGGUACCUGGUACCAGUGAGGGUCACGAACUGGUGCUCAAAGAAUUAAGGGAUGAAAACACAAUGCUGCUGAAGACAAAUGCCUCUCUUAAUGAGGACAUUAAGUCCCUAAACAAGCAACUGAUACAGGCCCAUGAGAGUGCAAAUGAGCGCAUGUUGCUGUUGAUGCAUACUUUUAAUCCCUCCCCUCCUCCGUCCUAAAUGAGUCUUGUAUGUUCUUUUGAUGUUUCACCUUGUGUCUUUUGUUGUUUUGACUAAACUACAGUGGUCAGUAUAUAUGAUAUGAUGCGCUCUCUUUUUGUUAAGUGCCUUGUUCAUGUGUGGUUUAAUAUUCUCUUUAUGCUUACAUACACAUGUUCCGUGUGGCCCAAGGCCCUGAAUUCUUUAUUACCUUGCAUUUAACUUGAAUAUGUUUACUGCUUCACCUUUUCAAUGAUGUCAAAAGGGGGAAGUUUUGUUGUAAAGUUGGUUGUGGAAUAGGGGCAUUGAACUAAGGGGGAACUGUGGUUGUUACUGGUGCACUAACAAAAUGGGAAUUUAUUAUGUAUUUGAAUGAAUGUUAUUCCACUCACGAGAUGAGAUAUUCAGGUUGUUUGUCAUCAUCAAAAAGGGGGAAAUUGAUAAGUGCUUAUGCUCCUAGAUGUUUUGAUGAUCUCCUCACAAGUGCAGGGACCUGGUCCUCUGCAGAGUAUGAAUACUCGUCCAGCUGUCAAAGUGUUGUACAACUGUAAAAGCUGUCUGCGUCAGAAAGUUGGUGAAGCUGCAGAGUACUUCACCAAUCAGAAGCAAGGAGGUUGCUUGUACGUUUGGUAAUAACUCUUCAUGGUAUAUAUCAAACAACACACAACAAUAUUGAUUCAUUCAUUCAAAGAGAGAAAUAUUUCAAGCUUCAAGAACAACAAGGGAUCUGAUCGAUUACUUCAAGAGCUUCUUGUACCAACUGUUACUUUGUUUGCUUGUAAUUGUGCUUACAUUGUAGGUUUCGUUUCACUUGUGAAAGAUACGUUUCAAAUUUGUGUGAAUCAUUGUAAGAACUAGGUUAAGGGUAACUUAGGGUCUUACUCUAAAGUCUAUAUUAAUCGGUCAGGAUUAGUAUAGUGGGCGGUGUUGUAUCCGGUUAGCAAAAUCUAAGUUAUCUAGGGUGAUAGCUUAGUGGGCAGUGUUGUAUCUGCUUUGGCUCAUCUAAGUAAUAGGAGGUAUUGCUUAGAGUUGGUAUUAGUAGGCUAAUCUCGGUUUGUAAACUUGCUUUUACUUUUGCUUGAGAAGAUUAGUGAAAGAAGUUUGAAAAGUCCUGGCAGGCCAGGUCGUGGUUUUACUCCCUUGAGCAAAGAGGUUUCCACGUAAAGUUGUUGUGCAAUCUUUACUUUCAGCACUUUGUUUAUUUUCUGUUAUUGUAACUGUGCUGAGGACCUGGUCCCAUCUAGACUGGUGGAUGCAUACAUUCCAACAGAAAUUGUGGUUAUGCAACUCAUGAUCUAACAUAUAAAUUGAUCGGGAAAUUUCAAACAAUAAAGAAGUUGUUGCAAGUAAGCCCAUUCAACUGAGUCAUAUGCUUUUUUCAUGUCUAACUUAAGCAUGCAUCUAGGGGAAAUUCUCUUUCUGUUGUAUCCUUUUACAAGAUCAUGACUUAAGAUGAUAUUAUCAGAAAUAAUCCUUUCUGAAACAAAAGCAGCUUGACUGGAAUCCACAAGGCAGUCCAUAACAACUUGAAGUCUUGUAGUUGAGAUUUUAAAAAUAAUCUUAUACACUACAGUGAAACAAGAUAUCGGUCUAAAGUCUGUAACAGAAGAUGGGUGCUUUACCUUUGGAAUUAAAGUCACUGAUGUGCAAUUAAUGGAUUUGUACAUCCUUGAGGUUCUGAACAAAAAUCCAUCACUGCACUCUCAAUAUCGGAUCCCCCUAUGUGCCAUACUUUCUUGAAAAAGAAUGAAUUGAAACCAUUUAUUCCCGGUGCUUUCUGAUCAUCAAUUCCUUCAAAGCAUCUAAAAUUUCCUUUCUUCUAACAGGCUCAAUAAGGCUGAGUUGUUGCCUAUUCAAAACUGCUCCUGAUCUCAUAACUUCUACAUUCACGCAAGGUAGAUGGCUGGUGGAAGCUUUGAACAACUGCUUAUAGUAGCUCAAAUUUUUUUCAGUAAUUGCCUGAAUCAAUGCUCCUUGUUCAUUCACCAGACUUCUGAUGUAGUUGUGUGCAUCCCUAUUUAUCAUGCUCGCAAAGAAAAAACCAUUAUUAGAAUCGCCUAGCUUGAGCCAUUGGAUCCUUGAUUUUUGUUUCAUGAUUGAUUCUUCAAUAAGGCUCCAUUUCUCUAGAUGUUGCUUUAUUACUUUCUCCUCUUCAAAUAAGGUUGUCUGAUGAUUCACGUUUCUCAUUUGUGCUUGUAUAUUAGAGAGGUGUCUUCUAAAAUCUUUCACUUUGGAUUCUAUCCCCGAGAAUUCAUGUGUAUUCAGGUUCUUCAAGCCAUUUUUCACAUAUUUAAGUUUCAUCCAAAUUCUAUUCAUGCUAUCUCCAUAAGCUGGUUCAUUCCAACCUCAUUGCACUACGUGAAAAAAUUCUUGAUGACUUUCUAGGCAAUUUAGGAAUCUAAACGGUCUAUUCCUUUUCUUCUCAACAGUAGAUAGAGCCACACACAGAUGAGAGUGGUCUGAGCACCGCGGGUCCAUGAUAUUCACCUCCAUAUGUGCCCAAUUCUUUAUCCAGUGAGCAUUCACUAUUGCCCUAUCUAUUCUACGGUAGACAUGUUGAUUUGUCCAUGUGUAGUCCCUUCCCACGACUUUCAUUUCUGUUAGAAUAGGAAUAAGUUUAUACAAUCUUAUUAGAAUAAGAAUAUGUUUAUACAAUUCUAUUAGAAUAUGAAUAGUAAUAGAAAUAGAAAUAGGAAUACUAAAUAGUAUCCUACUUGGUAAAUGAUUGUAUUCUAGGGUCUAUAAAUAGUAGGGUCUCAAUGUAAUAAUGUAAACAACAUCAAUUCAAUAAUAUCUUUUCAUAUAUUUCUCACAAUUUCCAUCAUUCCCGUUUCUACUAAGAAAUUGUUGAAAUCUCUUAUUUCGGCUUCCUGGACAGGAGCCCCCCGUUGCUUCUAUCCUCGAUAUGUAAAAUUGUGUUAAAGUCUCCCAUAAUUAACCAUGGGUCUAGCAUCUGAUCAGCUAUGCCUUUGAGGUCUGCCCAUAAUACCUGACCCCUGUCUCUUAUGUUAUGUAAGCCAUAAAUAGCAGUGAAUUGGAAAUCCAUAUUCGAUAAACCUUUACUAUCCCGUGGAUAUAUUGGCUACUGGAAUGCGUGUGAGUAAAGUCACACUUUGCGGGAUCCCAUAAUAACCAUAUUGUUCCUCUGUUAGAGUGUUGGUUGGUAGUUGUUGCACCAUUUCCAUCCAUAUGCAAUCUUUUUCACAAUCCUUGAGGAAGAAAUCUCUUUUGACUCUAUUUUCAAUUAUAGCAAUCAAACCUACAUUUGUCUCUGUUAAGAACACCUUCAACUCCUUUUGCUUGUAUACUAGCUUUAUUCAAACCUCUUACGUUCCACGUUACCAACUUCGUAUAGGAUUUUUUGGUAUUGCUGGAGCCUCCGAGCUACUUUGGCCUUGAUUCAUUCUACAUUUCCUGUAUUAUUUCCUCCACCAGUGGAUUAAAAACAUUUGCAAUAGGAACUACCCGAUUCUUAAGGGUCUUUCCAUGUGUCGCCUUGAUUUUGUUUAGGACUGGUCAUCUGCUUAGUUUGAUGGCUAAUAGUAGCUUGUUGUUCCUUAUCAUGUACCUGCUGUUCAGUUGGUAAUUAAUGUGGUGAUCACGUUCUCCUGCUUUUUUACAUUGUGCUAGCCAUCGUCUUACUCUUGGGUCGGGUCGGGGCUUCUCUUGAUUGCUAACCGUAUCGUGCUUGACAUCUCACCCUGGGUUCGGGAAUCUUAACUGGCUUAGUUUUCUGCUUAUUUACACCAUGUUCAUCUUGUCUCUUGGUUUCAAGGUUUUGGCAAGAAUGACCAAUUAUGAGACUUUAAUUUUGUGCAGUAUGCAUGAGGGCUUCCAUUCUUAUAUACUCUAUGCUCUGCUCAAACACCCUUCCAUUUGGAUCUUGCACCUUCACGUGAACAGGCAACACUUGAGUGAUAUCCAUUUCCACUAAGGAAAUACGAUCAAUACAAGAUGUACACUCAUCCGCAUAUAAGUGGCGGCCUAAUCCGCUUCCGAUUCUCCUUAAGGAGUCCUUACCUCCAGCAAUUUAGCGGCAAGUUUGGGAGUUUGACCCAUACGGGAAUCAUUCGCAACACCUCAUUGUUGAAAUUGAAAUUAUAAGGACACCAUGCCUUAACAAUGACUGGUCUGCUACACAUCGUAUACGGUCCUGAGAAUACCACUUCUAUACUACUACUGAAUCGUAUUACAAAAUAUCCGUCUAUAUUACAUUUUGGUAUAAAAACUAAAUUGUAACAUGUCUAUUAACCUUAGAAUUUCUUAUAUUUCAGAAGUUAAGAGUCUAGUUAGUUUUAAAGAACGUCACUACAAAAAAGAAUAAAAUUCAAUAUUUUUUAGUAAGAUGGCGAUGGACCUAGAUUCGUUUAAGGGCUUCGAGAAAAAGUAAGCAUGUUAAUAGUGUUGAUAAAUUAGUAGGGUUGGUUUAGAUAUAAACAAAUCAGAUCAUAUAUAAACGAGCUUAAAUUCAAUAAUUUUAAUCUAAACUAAAUAUUUUUAUUAAAUAUAUAAUGAUAUUUACUUGGAAAUCAGUUUUUGAUUCAAAUAUUACUAUAUAUUUAAUUUAAUAAUCGAAAGAAACACGUAAAUUUACAAUAUAAAGCUAUUUGAAAAAGUUGAUAAAGUCUUGCCCAAAAAAAUUAGUUGACAAACUAAUUUAAAAAAAGAAAAAUGAGAAGAUAGGUCUGAAGCAAAAAUAACAAUGAAAAUCCAUCCACUGAGAUUCAAUCUCAGUUAUUAUGGGUAGAUCUUAACCACCCUCAACCUUUUGCACUGUGUAUUAGUGUUGUGUUAAGGGGGUUUAGUAUUUUUGAUAUAUAUACGCAAAUCACAAAUUUAACACCAUACAUAUACAAUAUAAUUUUUUAAGUGAGGGGUUCGGACGAACCCUCUCGGCUCCAUGUAGGUCCAUUCAUGGUUACAACACACGUGCGUUUUUCAGUCUGUCUGAGCCAGGUUUGGACUAGAAGACAUAAUUCGGCCCAAGGUCAAAUUCUAACCCUAUAAAUACAUCUUAAACACAUUCUUAAAGGGCGAUUUCAGACCAACAUGGGUUGUGGUGCACUGGUGGGAGUGUUUCACCCUUAACCAGAGGUUUUAGAUUCGAGCCCUGGGUAUGAAGAAAAUCUUGUUGGGAGCGCCACCCCCGAAUGGGCCUGUGCGAUCCGAAUUUAGUCGGAGCUCCAAUGUGGGCUUCGGACACCGGAUGGGAAACCAAAAAAAAAGGGGCAAUUUCAGACUUCCUGGUUAUCACUAAUUUUGAUUUGUUUAAUUAGUUUACUUAUAUUAUCCUACACAAAAUUAUUUGAUUCUUUGAUCAACAAUCAUAUUGUGGGUAGUAAACUUUUUUUUCAGUUAGCUAACGUUAAUCAUUUAAAAUUUAUUACAUAUAAAUUUAUAAAAUGAUUUGAAUUAUAUUAAAUUCAUAAAUAUAUUAGUUCAAAUAAAUAUUAUGGAUUAAUAUAAUUGGGCUAAUUAUUUAAGUCCAAUAAAUAUGAAUUUAAUUAAAAUUCAAUUUAAUUGAUUUGGGCUAUAAUAGAUGAAGCCCGAUUUGCUAAACCCAAUUUCAUCUCAUCCUAGAGGCCCAUUUUUUGGUGCCACAUGGUAAAUGAUGUGGCAUUCCAAGUCAAACAAGAAGUCAAUAGAAUUACGACAUGUGUCAAAAAUGACAAGUCUGCUCCAUGAAGCCCAUAUGUCAUGUCACUUAAAUCUGAUUGGCCGAAUGAAAUCAUGUUCCAAUCACAACUCCUCUACUCUAAAACUAUAAAUAGGGGUCUACAUAAUUCAGAAAAUGGACAGAAAAUUCUAAACAAGAAGCUAGAGAAAGUCCGUGGUACAAACGCCAUAAAAUUCUAUAUGAGAACAAGCUCGAAGCCCUUGAAUUCAAGUAAAAGUCAAGAUAAAGUUCAAGUUCAUCAAAGAUUCAAGAACAAGCUUCAAAGUCCUUGAAUCCAAGAUCAAGUUCAAGACAAAUUCAAGAUUAAGCUCAAGAGCCCUUGAAUUUAUAUUUGAAAAAGCGAAUUCAGAGGAAUCAUAGAGAUUGUAACACUCGCACUUUGAAAUAAUAAAUACGAUCGCUGCGAUAUUUCUCCGUUCUUGAUUACUAUUUUCUCGAUGCAAAUUUUAUCAUCUACACUAACUAAAGUGGACAUGCACAACUAGAUUGGAUAAAUUGACCUGUAACUCUGGAGUGUAUGCUUUAUCUAAAUUCUCAACAACAUAUUUAGUUUACCGUACGUUUGUGUUCUUAAUUAAUUACUUGAGAUAAACUUGAAGGUUCUUAGUGAAAUCAGUAAACUAAUAAAUACGUACAUAAAUUAUAGAAGAAAAGAUACACGAAGAAGAGGACUGUUGAUUUUAUUAGUCUCUUAUUCUUUACAUGUAUAGAGUGAGUGUACUGAGUCAAGAACUUCCACAUUCACAAGAUGAAAGUUUCGAAGAUGAGGAUAACGAGAUGUGUGUGCAUACUAGGAGAGACAAGAUUAGAAAUGAAAAUAGGCAAGACAAGGUAGGAGUGACCUCGUUGAUAGAGGACAAUUAAAUGUGGUAAAUAAGAUUAAAAUGAUUCUGACAUGGGCAGAGGAGAUGCACGGAUGCCCUAGUGUAGAGGUGUGAGAGGUUAGUUAUGGAUGACUUGAGGAGGGGUAGAAGUAGGCCAAAUAAGUAUAGAGAUAGGUGAUUAGACAUUAAAUGAUACAACUUCAGCUUAUCGAGGACAUAACCUUAGAUAGGAGGUUAUGGAGGACACAUACAAGGGUAGGAAGCUAGUUAGAUAGUUGAAUGUUGUCUCGCUUAUUCUUCUUUACUAUUAGACGUAGUAAUAGUUAUUUUCUUUGUCCUUUGACUUUGAUUAUUAUUUGUAGUUUGUUUACACUUCGAUUAUGUGGUAUCUUGUUAUGACUACCAUUUAUGAUGAUUUUUGAGGUUGUCUGUGGUAUUUUGUCAUGAUUGUCUUCAUUUUUCGCUAUUUCUUUUUGUAUACUUAUUUGAAUUAUUUUUUCUCUUGAGUCAAGGAUCUAUCGGAAACAACCUCUCUACCUCUAAGUUAGUGGUAAGGUCUAUGUACAGUUACCCUCUAAAGACUCUACUUUGUGGGGUACACUAGGUAUGUUGUUGUUGUUGUUAUCAUAUGGUUAGAAAGUUUCUCAAUAUUUUAAUGAGAAUCUAUUUCCCGUCAUGUAUUUUUUUAGUGAGCUGUUUCGUUGAGAAAUGAGUGAAAAAAAUCAUGUUUUAUAACACAAAUUCUCACUAAUUUUCCGUGGAAAAAACCUUUAUCCAUAGUAGUAGAAGGACUAAUAGAAUUCUACGCGAACAAACUUUUGAAACACGAAUGCAUAUCACACCUUAAGCGAAUCUCACAUUAUAGUGGAAGAUUAAACCGAAAAUGUGCAUACUUGUAUUUGAAACUAUUAUUUGAGACAUGAUAUACUUAAUUAGUGCCAAUUGGCAAUUGUAACUUGAGCUAAACAAACUAUAUUAAGGUACUUGUUGCAGUAGUUAUUAGAGAAUAAAAUAACAUUGAAUUAUAGUUUAUUAAACUAGAGCGGCAUAUCAUUGAUUAAACAAAACAAAAAUGAAAAAAAAUAACCAUGCUUCCCAACCCCUAGACGAAUUCAGACGCUGCAUUAAACAUGCCCACUGCUAAAAAAAGGGAUAAAAUCGAGGGAAAAAAUCGAUGGACAUGAUCAGUUUUUUUAAAGAAAAAUCGACGCUAAACUGACAGAUGCUACAUUGUCAAUUUUUCAAAAAUAUAUAUGAAAAAUUAGCUAUGUGGAAUCAAACCCAGGUAUUUUCAAUAACUUUUGGAUAAUUUUACCAACAAUUAUACAUGCUCUUCGAUGAAAUAUUUUCAUCAUUUUUAUUUGUAGUACCGUUCAAUUGCAAUUUUGCAUUUCAAAAUGACUCUAUCCGUCGAUUUUCGUAAAGAAAAAAAUAAAAAGUCUAGGGACUAGAAAAGAAACUAUUAAUUGACUUUCAUGCCAAAGGAGGCAUGGACUACGAACAAUAUAGUAUUUAUUGAAAGAAGCAGGAAGCAUCUUAUUAUUUAAUUUGUGUGAUCACAUAUAUUUACUUUUAUUUUAUUAAUUAGGCAUAAUAUAUAAAUGUAUUUUUUAACUUGAUCUCUUAUCAUAUUUAUUAUGCACAAGUAGUUACUUGAACUUGUAUAAAAUUGAACGUGUAGACAUAAUACACAUAGAACACCAUAUAUGACAUAAAUUGUCACGUAGGAUGCCAUGUAUGACAUAUAUGUCUUUUCGUUCAACUGUAUAUAAGUUAAUUAAGUGUCUACUUGUGUACAUCCAAAGUUGGAGAACAUAAAUAUGAAAUGAAGUCAAAUUAAAUAACACAUUUAUGUAUUAGACCUAUUAAUUAACAAAUCACAUUAUUAAAAAUACAAGGUUGAAACUGUUAAACCUCCCAAUUAGUUAUGUUAUUAAAUUACAUAUCGGCUCUCAACAUUUACUGUUUUUUAUAUGUUGCAAUUUAUGGAUUUUUGCCGUUACAAGUAAAACCUGCAAACUUCCAACUUUGUAUAUAGGGGCCUUUUACUCUUCUCCACCACCAAUUUUUCUAUGCAUAAUUAAAGUAAAACUUUUGAUAUAUUUUCUGAGUUUUCCAAGAUCAAGAAUAAUCAUCAAUGAAUAGUGAUUCGAGACACAUACGCAUGAUGUUACGUUCCAAGUCAAGGUAUAACACAACUUGCACGCACCUUAAUUAUUUUACUAGUCAUGUUUUAUCUACCAUCAAGGCUUAGACAGAUGAAAAGAUCUGACCCCCUUUUUGUAUCAUUUAUUGAAUAUUUGAUGUUUUUGGAGGAUUUGCAGAGUAGGGUCCAAUAAUGAUUCUGGAAAGAGGAGAAAUUCUUCAAUCAUUUCAAAAACAAUUUCUGCAUCCAAACUUUGUAGAUGUGAUGCUUUGGGAUCACAAAUUGAUACCAAUGCCCUUGUUUCUCUUGAAAUGAAGCCCUCUUUUAACCAUUCAUCUAAGGUAUUAUAAAAAGUUGUGACUUUACAUACUAUCUAGGUGCUCAGUAUGCAAAUUUUAUGUCAAAUGGAUACUUAGAAUUGAUAUAGUUGACUCCAACUAGUUUGGGAUUGUGGCGUAAUCAUUUUUGUAUCAAUUCGUCCAAAAAUUAGAUAUUUUUUUUUUUUUGUGUGUGUAGAAUCGAACUGAUAGACGUGUUGUUAUGCAAGAACAAAUGGAAAAACUUGAGGAGGAUUUGAGAGAGACAAGAGAACAAUUAUGUUUUGUUGAAGGAGAAAAGAAGAAAGCUAUAAAUGAACUAAGUGAGAUAAAGCAAGUAGUCCACAAGGCAAGUGAUGGAAUAACAUCAAGUGAACUCUAUGAAGAAGUUAGGACUUUGAAGGAAUUGCUUACUAACAAACAAGAAGAAGUAAAGAUAAAAGAUAAGAAUAUCAAGUCUUUGAAGUUGGAGCUCGAAAAGGCGAUAAAAUGUGAUCUCAAGAUACCAGAAAAAGAUGUAUCUAGUCCUGUAAAAGCAUUCAAGAUUCGUGUAACGGAUUGGUUAUCUGAUUUUAAGAGAAGGGUUCAAGAAUUAGAAGAUGAAUUAGAGAACAAGAAGUUAUCAGAGUCCAAAAUAUUUGAUGCUUGGUUAGCUAAGACAAGACAAUUUGAAGAAAUCAAGAUUGAACUUGAAGAAUCCAUGCUUGAAAUAGCUUCUCUUCAUGGAAAGAUUGAAUCUUUCGACACUUCUUACAAUGGACAGACUAAAAAUUCAACUGAAAAGGAAAUAAGAAACGAGAACGAGAAGAUUGCAUCAUCAAAGGCCAAGGCUUUGAAUGAUGAGAUGAGUUUGCUAAAAAGAGAAAUGAAAUUGGCAAAUGAGGCAGAGGAAAAGAGCAGAAAGGCGUUAGAUGAUUUGGCGUUGGCAUUGAAGGAAGUUUCUUACGAAGCAUCUGAGGCGAAAGAGAAGCUUUGUGCUACACAACAAGAAUUAGGACUAGGGAAAAAGGAGGUUAGAAAUCUGAAAGAGAUUGUCAAAAGCACCAAGGCUAGAUAUAAAAUGUUUUUGGAUGAAGCAAAAAGGGAAACAGAAUUGUAUAGGAACACAGCAGAGAGAUUGAAAUUAGAGGCGGAUGAGUCACUUUCGUCUUGGAAUGGAAAAGAAAUGAGCUUCAUCGAAUGUAUAAAAGAAGUUCAAGAAGAACGAGAUCUUGCUCUACACGAGGCUACUAAGCUGAACGAAUCUCUUAAAGAAGCUGAGCAAAGAAGUAAAGCAGCAAAGGAAGAAAACUACAAAUUGAGAGACAUCUUAAAGCAGGCUAUCAAUGAGGCAAAAGCUGCUGCUGACUUAGCUAGACGGGAAAAUUCUCAACUCAAAGAUGGUCAAGCUAAAACAGGAUGAAUAAAGAAUAUGAAUGCAUUGUGAAUGAUGAACUUGCCUCACCACAGACAAUCUCAACGAGUACAAACACUUGCAUUUUUUUCAGCAUCAACAGAACACAAACAUGCAGAAUGGGGAGCAAAAGAAAAUGAAGUCAAGAAAGGCGAGGAUCACAUAAGCCAAGAAAACUUUCAGCUUCAAUCACUGUGAGGUAACGAUAACGAUUAUGAGAAGGUGUCAAAGGCUAUAUAUCAUAAACAUUUUUGCAAUUCCUAUAGUAAUAGGAGUUUAAUUAAGAGAAGAAAAACAUUAGUUCUGAAUUUGGAAGAGUUGCUAACCUCAUAACGAGGUAUAGUUUUCAUAAGAACGGACUAUUGCCUAGUCUACAUUAUAUAGAUACAUUUGAAAUAGUAUAGUUAUUGCUCAUGUACUAGUACGAAAUCUUUCUGUAAAUUCUGUCUAUAAGAAAGUAAUUUAACAAACAUAAUCCCACCAAAUAACUCUGUUACUAAAUAUAAAGAUGAAACCUCAGAGCAAAAUGGUCUGUACAUGGUAGCCACAACUGUGUUUAAAUGCUUCUUAUUUAUAUCGUUUGCUUCUUGUUACAAGACGUAGUCAUAUUUUGGACAAUAAUUGGGACCAAGAAUACUUCUUUUUGCUCUUGGUUUGGUGUCAUUUGUAGUUCAAAAGGGUAAAAGGUUGUGGCCUUAGCUCUUCCUAAUUUGCAACUUCAGGGCACAAUUUCCCCGUCUUUGGUCAAUUUGUCCUUUCUCCGUGUGCUCAAUCUUGAGAACAACAUCUUCUACGGUGGCAUCCCUUAAGGCCGUGGCCACUUUCCUCGCUUGUAAGUGAUUAAUAUUCAAAACAACCAACUCCAAGGAAGAAUUCCAAUAAGUCUAUUUCAACAUCAGAGAGUUCAAGUAAUUUCGUUGGCUUUCAAUAGACUCUGUGGUGAAAUGUGGAAAAAGUCAUGGUAUGUACCGGAACUUUGAGUAACAAUAGCUUCACAGGUAUAAUCCUACCUUCUGUUAGAAAUGCCACAAAGCUGCUGAACUUCAGUUUGUCUGGGAAAGAGAAUCAAGGGCCAAACUCCGAAGGAUAUUGGUAAUGUAAGCAAAGUUGCAUUUUUGUACUUGACUGAUAAUCAAUUAUCAGGUUCUAUUCCUGCAGCACUCUUUAACAUCGACUCACUUCUUCCCGUGUCUCUGAUAUUAAAUAGCCUUUCCGGUCCUCUCUUGCUUGAUGAAGGAAAUAUUGUAUCAAAUCUGAAGUAUCGAAGACCCAAAUUUCUAGUUGCAUUCCUUCCAACUGAUGCAAACUUCAAGUCACAAGCACUCUGUAUGAUUAAAGUCAACGGGUGCUGCUAGUACUGGGAUCUACAUCAGAAAAGAUGCAGUAAGCUGAGUACAAAAUCACGAAUGCUCAUUAGACAUUAUAGGCUGACCAAACAAGACUAGUAGCUAUGUUAAAUAAAGAAUAUUAAUAACCCUGCACUCAGAAAAGUCCAACUAGUUCAAUCAAUAUAGCAAGUAGAAUCAAUAUGAACAUGUAACAAUAUGAAAUGCAAUGCAGUGACCAACGAUCCUAUCGGUAUACACCCCUUCCACAACCGCUCUACUGUGAGGUAGGGGGGAUUGUUGCCAUCCAUAUACCUGUUGGGAAUCAUUUUCCUUUGGGCACCACUUCAUAUGCAAGUACUCGGUAACAUUUUUCCUUGGGUUUCACCACGAUAACCAACCGUCCAGAACCAUUUCCCUUCUAACACAUAUAAAAGAGCAAUUUUUUCAAAAAACACAGCUUUUCGAGACAGAGUUAAAUCACAACACUAUCAUAUUUGUAAUAGUUAGAAUGUAGGCAUCCACUAGUGAUCACAGGACCAGGUCCCAGACAGAAUAAUAGUGCGGAAAAUAAAUAACUCAGAGUAAAUAAGGCACAAGGAUUUUACAUGGAAACCCCUUGCUCAAGGGCGGUGAAAACCACGACCUGUACUCACAAGAUUUCAACCCCAAACUCCAUUUCACUCAAACGGAGCAAAGUUUCAAAUUACAAACUCUUGCAACCUAGGAAUUAAACUCUUAAUUCCUUCCCCCUUGCUGUAGCAACUCUACUACAAAGGAAAACAAAGCAAUAACUAUAUUGCCCACUAAACCAACUAGCUCUAGUUGAUCUAGACUUCAUGAACCCACCAAGGCUAACUCUAGCCACCAACAUCAAAACAAUGAUGUAAAAAGGCUUGACUAAAAUAUAGAUGAUUCGACUAACUAACUCUAGUUAAUACGACUCAAACUAAAGACUUAGACAAGCAACCGAUCUACUAUCUUUUAUAACUUAGGAGUAGAUUUACAAUAUAAGCACAUAAAAUACAAAACUCAAAUAUAACAAGACGCUUCAACAUUCCAUCAGGUCCCUUGUUGAGUAUGAGCAGUGUUCUUCCUUAAAGAUAACCUUUUCUUUUUGAGCUUAUGAAUUUCAGAAAUUCAAAACUUUGUUUACCAAAUCUUAGGUUUGUUUCUUGUGAGAAGUGACUAUAUCAAAUGGACAUAAACCCCUUGGGACAAGGUCAUUGGCUGAGAGCCUGCUACUCUGAAAAGCUGUGCACAAACCAUGUUAGGCGUGACAGAUUUUAAACAGCUGUCUUUUGACUUUUUCAUGUACGCAGUCUUUCUAGGACCAGGUCCCUUGUAGUGUGUUCUUUGAUGCUUGAGUUUUUGAAAAGACUUGCUAGCUCUCUAUUUUUGAAUGAAUAAUGUUGUUUGUUUAUUGUUGUAUAUAUCAAUCACCAACAAGGAUUUUGACCACUGAAACAAACAACCUCGUCCGCCCUUCCUAUUGGUGAAGUACGUUGCACUUUUCACCAACCAACCUGACAAGACAGCUUUACAGAUGUAGACCAUUUUGAACCUGGACAACAACACUCUUCCAAGGACUGGGACCUUGCAUUUGUGAGGAUUAUCAAAACACCUAAAAUACAACAGUAAUUUUUGAAAUUCCUUCACAUAAGCAAUCUUCAGGCGGCUGAGCCAGAAAAAAUCUCUUAUAUUCAGAUUGCAUCUCCAAGUGUCACGAUCCAACCGGCCGUCAUUAGAGGCAUCCACAUUAAAUCUCUGAUAGGAGAUCCAAUAAUUUGCUAAUACACAAGCAAUUAAUCACUUAAAACAACAUUUUUAAUAAGCAAAACAAGUCUUUAUAUCAACCACCAUCAAAACAUUCGCAGAAACCCCCACUCUCUCAAGAACCUGAAAGUCGUGUACCUAAAUAUCUAUGAAUUCUAAAAUAUGGGGAUGCAACCCCAAAAUAAAAAUCAGUCUAAGUCUGAAAAAAGGACCAGAGGGAAAAGAUGAAUCCAUAGCAGCUCGGAAGAAGCAGCUCAUCUUUGGAUUCAAGAAAUGUUGGACUCAUAAUUGAGGUCACGAAGCAGCCAUCGAAAUAUGCCAUGUACUUAACAAAAAAAGGGCAAAUGCAGUAUCAAUACACCAUAGAGAUCAUCAACCAACUCCAUAUAUAUGAAGUAUGAACAUGUAAGCACAUAACUUCGUAAAAUAGAUAACAUAUGCAAUAAAUAUUAUCAACAACAUUACAACAAAGCUAACCAGUCCACUCAAUCGACUAAUGCAGACCUGUGCGAUGUUAUAUACUUACAACAGAAGAUUCAGAUUCUAAGAGUAGAACUGUGAGGUGUUACAAAGCACGACAUAAGAGAUACUGGCUUAACCUAAUUAUG